rnacentral:sRNA from 1 species
UUGAUCCGUAUGAUGGAUCCAAUUCGGUUGGGCUAUCAGACAGGUCUAUAUCACUGUCUCUGUUUGCCCUAUCUGUUAUGAGGUCAAAGAUAAAAGAACCAGCAAGGGGAAAGGUUAAAGGAAAUAAUAUUUUCAGAAGGAGAUUCUUGAUGCCCUCUGCUCUCUUACUUUCCAUUUAGAAGAUCUCAUCAUUCCUUUAGUCUCCAUGAAACAAGCCAUUUAGUAUAUCCACUGCCCCACAGGGCGUUCCUACCUUGCUUUGCCUUCAGGUCUAAACUAUGCUAAAUCUCUCCAGU